GGCGCUUAGAGGGUUAACUCCAAUUUUGUAUAAAAGACAGCACGCUCGGCGAAUUCAAUUGGGGUACAACGAAACGAUACCGUCUUCAAGGAUUGAUUCUAUCAUGAUUUACACAAGUCUAGCAGUACUGGUGGUGCUUCUGGCCACACUGACCGACGCGGCAGGUUCCGGUCAGCGGCUUGUGUGCCAGAGUUCUCUGCCGACCCGGCACCGUGUGUCGUGUCGUCCAAGACUGUGCCGGACCUAUCUGCCCCCCACGGGCUGCGUGCGUCCCUUGCGUUCCAUUAGGUAUCGAUGCCGUCUGCAACAGAAAUAAUUUCCUCAAUGUUGUACUUGUCGGUAACCCCCUGGUGCCACA